UCUGCCAAAGGGACCGGACGCGAGAACCUCCAAUUGAGGAGGGGGGUGGCGGGGGCGAUUCCCACACCAGCAGCCAAUCCAGCUGUCCCGGGGAGGAAGAGGAGGAGCCAGGGCCUCCCCCGGGACUCCGCACUGCUCCGCGCGCUGCCACCACUACAACUAGCUCGGCUCCUGGACUCAGCGCGUCCGCCACCGCAGCCGCUUCCCCGCGCAGAUAUGGCCUCAGGUGCCACCCCCGCGGCGGUGAAGAUUGGAAUAAUUGGUGGAACAGGCCUGGAUGAUCCUGAGAUCUUGGAAGGACGAACAGAAAAAUACGUGGAUACUCCAUUUGGCAAGCCUUCUGAUGCCUUAAUUUUGGGGAAGAUAAAGAAUGUUGACUGCGUCCUCCUUGCAAGGCAUGGGAGACAGCACAGCAUCAUGCCUUCCAAAGUCAACUACCAGGCGAACAUCUGGGCUCUGAAGGAGGAGGGCUGUACACAUGUCAUAGUGACCACAGCUUGCGGUUCUUUGAGGGAAGAGAUUCAACCUGGUGAUAUCGUCAUUAUCGAUCAGUUCAUCGACAGGACCACCAUAAGGCCUCAGACCUUCUAUGAUGGAAGUCAUUCCUGUGCCAGAGGAGUAUGCCAUAUUCCCAUGGCUGAGCCGUUCUGCCCCAAAACGAGAGAGGUCCUCAUAGAGACUGCUAAAAAGUUAGGGCUCCGGUGCCACUCAAAAGGGACAAUGGUCACAAUUGAGGGACCUCGCUUUAGCUCCCGGGCAGAAAGCUUCAUGUUCCGCACCUGGGGGGCGGAUGUUAUCAACAUGACCACGGUUCCCGAGGUGGUUCUUGCUAAGGAGGCUGGAAUUUGCUAUGCAAGUAUCGCCAUGGCGACAGAUUAUGAUUGCUGGAAGGAGCAUGAGGAAGCGGUUUCAGUGGACCGGGUCUUAAAGACCCUGAAAGAAAAUGCCAAUAAAGCCAAAAGUUUACUCCUCACUACCAUACCUCAGAUAGGGUCCAUGGAAUGGUCAGAAACCCUCCAGAACCUGAAGGUAGUUGAGAGAGGAUUUGAAAAGUUGGUAAAAGCCCUCCCUACCUGAACUGCUACUACCAAGGAGCCCUGGAAUGAGAGCCACGAUUUCAGUGUGAUGAAGACACCGUGUGGUGAUCAGUGAUGGACAACUGCUGGGCUUGGAGGAAACAUGAUUUGGAGUGGAUGCUGACUGCAUGAAUACAGCCCAGUUUUCUGUUUUAUUACCAAGACAUUAAAAGAGCAUGGCUGCCUAGAAGACCAGAAGACUUUCUAAUUCCAGUCAUUUGGGAAAUUUCUGCCUAGUUAAUGGAAAAAACAUGGAAAGACAUGCAGCUCUCAUGCCCCUGCCUGCUAAGGAAGAACAUGACAAGACAUGCACAUAUCAGAAAUGCCUUCUAGAAGGCUUGGACUGCUUCAGAAAACAGAAGGAAAGCAAAUCACCAGUUAAACACGUGGAAAAAUUCUUAAAAAGACAAGACCCCAUUUGCCCUUCCCCCAGUAAGUUUGUAAUAAUACAGGGUAGGAGAUAACAUCCAGCUUCCUAUGUUACCAAGGAAAUAUGAAGAAGAACUGGAAUUCUUAGACUAUUUAUUGGUGUAACUGUAAAUUCAAACAGUCUUUGUGGAGGGCAGUUUGGUAAAAUUCCUACAGUUUUAAAAAGUUUUAAAAAUACUUACACCCUUUGUGCUGGCUACUCUAGUCCUAGGACUUUAUCUUUAUAAAAUUAUCAGAGAUACAAAGAAUUAUGUAUAAAGAAGGAUGUCUAAUAUAGUUUUAGUUAUAAUAACAAAUAUACAAAACAAUCUGAAUAUCCAACAGUUGGAGGUAAAUUAUGACCUAGCUCUAAUUAGAUUGUGAAGCAGCCAAGUAAAGAUCAUGUUUUCACAUAUUUAAUGUCCUAAAGAAAUGACUGCUCUGUAAUAUGAAAUGACAAAAGGAUAUGCGUAAGCAUUUUACAUUGCUAAUUUUGUCUUUAAAUUCUGCAUUGAUGUAUAAAAAGACUAGAAAUGAAUAGAUUAUAAUCUUUUGUUACCAUAUUUGGGGGAGGGAAACAAUUUUAAUUUUCUUUAUAUUUUUCUGUGUCUUCACAUUUUUCUACAGUGAAUAUAAUCAAAUGGUAAAGCUGUCUUAAAAAUAAAAAAGACCCAGUUCUUGAAAAAAUUACAGGUGUAAUGAUACAAAAUUUAAGAUGGUAAUUCUAAGAAGAGUUCUGUUUGAGUUCGAUCUUCAUGAGUGACUGUACAGUCAGAACGAUAUUUGGGCUUGCCACAACUUGAGAAAAACUGGGUGUUUAAUACUCAGAUAGUCUUAAACCAUGUAAGAGACUAUAUACACACAUUAUAGUGUGUCAGGUAUUUUUAAAAUUAAUAUUUGAUCUUUGUUUCUACUUUUUGAGUUGAUGAAUUAUUUUACAUGAGUUAGUGGUUUAGAUUUUUUCAUAAAAUAGAAGCUUGCUUCUUACACUGCUUUUUGUUAAUUUUAUAGGAAUGUGUUUUGUUCUGUCACAGGGAGAUCUUUUUUUUUUCCUCAGAAUUAUUACUUUUCACUGUGGGCUGUUACUGGAUCCUUUAGUGAUGUAUCCUGUUUAAAGAGUCUGUAAAGUCCAUGUGUUUGUGUCUAGGAGAUUGGCUUCAAGAUAAUCUGCUAAUUAUAAACAAUAAAAUAAACCAGUUACCGCCAGCAUUAAAACA